GGAGAGGUGGCAGAGUGGUCGAUCGCGCCGCACUCGAAAUGCGGAGUACGUGCAAGCGUACCGGGGGUUCGAAUCCCUCCCUCUCCG
rnacentral:tRNA from 1 species